rnacentral:lncRNA from 1 species
UGGGUAUCUUCUCUACAUGACCUGGCGAGAAUACGCCUAAAUUGGUCUUCGCUGUCAGAAGAUAACCCGGUUGAAGCUCUUCAAGAUCUCCCAAAUCUGAUGGAGCUGCAGUUGCUUGAUGCAUACACUGGAACCCAGUUGGAGUUUCACAAGGGAAAAUUUCAGAAGCUUAAGAUAUUAGACCUUGUGCAAUUGAAACUGAGGUUUAUCAGAAUGGAAGAUGGAACAUUGCCCUGCCUGCAAAAGCUGAUAAUAAGGAAAUGCAGCGAGCUGGAGCGGGUCCCUGUUGGUAUCGACGACCUCAUUCAUCUCCAAGAGCUGCUCCUCUGCGAUAUGCCUGAGAAAUUCGUGACCCAGCUGAAGAAAAAAGGCGGUGAACUUCGCCAUCUCCUUCACCGUAUUUCACAUAUUGGUUCAUACAAAGAGGGCAAGUUGGUGGAAGAUCUUUCAUGACCGAUGGGUACAAGAAUCUGGUCCGUAUAACAUAAUGGAUUCCUUAAAAUGUAUUGAUGUUGGAUUUCUAUUUCUUUACUAGCAUUCCUGCAUUUUCCUAUAGUUACUAUAUAUGGUGCAAUAGCAUUUGUACGCAGAUCAGCUUUAGUUGUGUGUUCGGAACUCUCAUUGUUGAGAUGAUUUCUGUAAGGUUGAUUGUUUUUUACCUUUUUUUUUUUCCUGUAAAAAGAAAGUUAAUUGUUGAAUGCAUCUAGUUAUAUUUUCUCAAAAGUUUUUAUUAAUUUUGAAUUUUUAGUAUUUUGAAUAACGUAUUAUCAUGAGUGCAAGGGCAUAGAAUAUGACCUCUAGUACCUCAAAAUUAAGAAGAAAUUAAUUCUAGAAAUACCUCAAUCUAAAACACAUAUAACAAAGAAAAGGAGAAGAAUGUGGCAGAGAAGGCAAUCCAGAUGGCACCUAUUUUAGAUAGCCCAAAGAAUGUGGUAGGCAGGGCAACAAGUGCCAACAUUAUGAAGAAUUUUCACCAUUGGAAAACAUUUCAAAAAUCCUAUUAAACAAGGAGGAGAGCUUCCAACAUUUUCAAAUGCCCAAAAACAAUUUUUCGAUUAAAUCAAUUUAGGAAACAAAGGAGCAAAAUGACAUUUGAAUGCCUAGGAAUGUUUGAACAAAAUGUUCUAACAAUCUCUCAUGUGACAAUUUUGUGAUAAAAUAUAAAGAUAUAACAAUUUUCAUGUGACUCGUAAAAGCCUCAUUGAACCCAAAAAUAAAGAUAGGAUUGGGUUAUGACCAAGUAUAAAUGUUUGUCGUGUUGGACUUGGCCCAAAAAUCUUAGACGAGCUUGGCUUGAGUUCUAGAAAUAUUGGCAUCCAUGGUACAAUUUUAUGCAAAUAUUGGAAGAAAUAUUGAUAUUGAUGAAAAUUUGGUAAAAAAAAUAAAAUCAUAAAAAUGGAUUACAUCUAUAUGAUUUUGGAGGAAAGUUUAAUAAAAGAUAAUAUAGUUUAUAAUACAUGUAUUAAACUUGUCACUAUCAAACUUUGACCAGUCAAACUGGUUUGUAUCUGGGAGCUAGGGGGGCUGCACUAGGCCUUUUGGAAAAAGGUCGGAAUGGGUUGCCCACCAUACUUCCAAACCAACCAUUUGGCAUGUCACUUGUUAUAUUAAUUAAUGACCUAUAAUAAAUAUAUUGGUUAAUUAUUCAGGAUAUAGUCAAAUUCCAGGUUUAUUUACUGUAAAAAUACAUUAAAGAUUACAAAUGAUAAAAUAUAAAGUUAAUGAAAUUGUGUACCCCGUAUUUCGGCUCAAUGCGUUUUCCACUCGAAUGGCGAGCUCUCGAUUUUUAUUUUAAAAAAAAUGAUUUAUAUUGAUUAAGAAAAUGACUUGGAGUUGCCACUUAUUUUUGUUUUAUUUUUUGAAGGGUAAACAAAAUAAGAAAGAAAACCUUAAGUGUGACUCCUUAUUUGGAAAAUGUGAUAUGCGAAAAACCGAAUCGGGUUCGGGGGUCAGGUUACUUAUUAGGAAGGUACGGUAAAGACCGUAGCACCCCUCUAAGUCCCUAAAACGGGUCUCUACUAAUAAAAUGAAGCUGAUAUGACAAUUGAUGAGAAAAUAAAUGAAUACUCGAUUUGAUCAUGCACACAUGAGUAUCAGAAUAUACAUAGAGAAUAACCAAAGUGGAAGUGGAUGCGUACCUGAUCAGCAAAUGGCAACGCGCUAUCACAAAUUAGGGUUAGUGCAUAGUAAUGAACAUAAAGUAUAUCACUCAUAUCACCCAACUAGAUAAAGGAGCACCAAUAUCAUGUAUGGUAUUUCAUUCAAUUCCAUUUUUAUUUUAAAGGAAAUUUAUUUGAUGUCGGGCCCCCACCAUAGCCCGUUUAUUUUGCAUGGACUAAUUCCAUAAAUUCCAUCAUUUGGAAUUACAGAAUUUGACUUUUGUUUAUUUCAAAACAAUUUAAAAUGAGAAAUUAUAUGGAAAAUGGGAGUCUUGGGACCUAAAAAUAAAUCUAAGGAUGAAAAUUUGAAAAACAAAAUUGUUUGAAGGAUUUGGAAAUUGGAAAAUUAUUUAAGAAAAUAAGAAUUUAAAAAAUAGUAAUCAUUUGAGAGCUAAGGGUGUGAGAAACCACUUAUGAAAACAGAAUAACGAUGGAGAAGUGGGAACGUCGGCCGGACAGAAUUCCGGAUGUGAGAUAUCCGGAGAAGGUUGAACGUCGGCGGGACAGAAUUCCGGAUGUGAGAUAUCCGGGUGAAAUUUCGGCGGAGAAGAAUUCCGGAUGUGAGAUAUCCGGAGAAGGUGGAACAUCGGCUGGACAGAAUUCCGGAUGUGAGAUAUCCAGGUGGAAUGUCGGCGGGGAAGAAUUCUGGAUGUGAGACAUCCGGAUAAGGCAGAAUGUUGGCCAGACAGAAUUCCGAAUGUGAGACGUCUGGGUGGAAUGAGUGAGAAUUUCUGUCCGGGUGGAAUGAGCGGUGCCACGUAUUGCGAGGGGCUGUCUGCGUGUCUAAGGGAGAAGGAGCCACGCGACAAUUUUUAGGGAGGAUCCCACAUACACAUGGGUAUUGAUGAUGAGUUAAACGAGCAUGAAAGGUGAGAAUAUGGUAGUGAUUAAUUCCCCUUCUUUCCACAAAUUCAAAUACUAGCUUCCUACAUCAUCUUGAGACAUCACCUCCCGGUAUGAGAUGCGCGGGGGUUUACGCAUGAUGAAGAUAAACGGGAAUAGGAGUGGAGUGAUGGAUGGGGGCGUGGACAUGUUGGAUAAAACGAUGAAUAAUAAGCAAGAAUGGGUAUGGGGAUGCUGAUGAGGUGGGUUUUGCUGCCAUGACAACUACUCCAGAUUUCCUAGGAUCUCCUUCAAGCAGGGAUGAGAAAAUGGAUGCGUACCAUGGACGGAUAUCAAGAGUAGAGGAGGAUAACAAAACAGAGCACAAAGAGUAGAUACAAGAAAAUGAGCCCGACAAGCUAUGCUUCAUAUUAUACCCACAGGCUUAGACGAUGGUGAGUAAGAUUAAAUGAGUAUCAGAUGAAAGGUAAAACGUGGUUACAAAAAUAUCUCAUGGAGAAAUCAAAACCAAAGCAAACUAAACCACUACAAAAUCAUUAGCAAAAAUAUGAACGUAUUCACUCCCAAUCAACAAACAUCAUCCGAGAAUCAGUAAAAACAAAGUAGAAAAGCACACCAUUAGAAGCUGAUGAAGAAUACACAAUAAAUGUACCUCAAAAUAACUCUCUCCAGCUAGGUGGGCAAGAAAUCGGACAGCUAUCCUUCCUCUCAAGCAACCAGCCAAGGAAAUCCCCCUUUCCCACUAGUCCUCUCAAGCUAAACUCCCCCCAGCUUCUCUUCUGUUUUCUCCUCCUUUCUUCUUCCUUUUUUCUUUUUAGAAAACCUCCUUUAUUUUUCGGAUUUGCCUUCCCAACGAUCUCUGCUGCAGCUACCUUUUCUACCCCACCUCUUCUGCAGCCACCUUUUCUGUCCCAAUUCUUCUGCAGCCGCCUAACGGCCUGCGGGACUCCCCUCCAGAAAGUUUCUCCACGUGUCAAAGUCCUACCGCAGCUUCAAAAAGCGAGGUUGAUUCCUUAUGGCCACUAAGGAUGUGACACGUGGCCCGCUGGGAUAGUGACACCUGGCUAAAAAUGUGACCUGCAAAAACAAAUAGAGAAAAAGUGACCCAUACCUAAACAUAUUAAUACACAUUUAAUCUAUCUAUGUUAUAUAUAAAAGUCUAUAGACUCAUAGGUGUUUGUAUUCUUUUAUGUUCUUAAACUGCAUCUUUCAUAUUAACAAAGUUUAAUUUUUCUUGUCUGAGGGAUUUAAGAAUUAUAUUUAGUAUUUUUGCAGUCAAUGAAUGUGUCACCACAUGUAUUGAACUUUUGCUCAAAUUCAUCAAAUGGAACUUCAAAAACCAACAACUUGUUUAUGCGAAACCAAAAGAUUGAAUAUUUCCUGGGUGGAUUUUUGGGAACUGAUCACACACACACAAGAAAUCUCCAUCAAGCUAGCUGUAUUCUCAGUGAAUAUUUCCUAGGUGGAUUUAAGAGUGCUUGUGGUCAUUCAAUAAGGUUAAUAAAUUGUCUGGAGGAAGCAGUAAAAUGAUCCUCUAAGUGUGAUCAUAUACAGCGGUGUGCUUGGAAAUAUUCAAAGUCUUCCCAAUGGGGAUCUUGAUUUAUAUGUAAUGCUAGUGUUCACAAUAUUUAUCACAUUGACUGCUGAAUUCUUUUGGAAGUAUACAUGGAUGUGGCAUUCAUGAGUAGUUAAAAUCAGUGUUUUCAGGGGGCCUACGCCAAGCUUCCAAGCAACAGCAAUGUGGAGAAGACAGCGUCCAAGUCUCUAUUAAUUAAAUUCAUGCGACACUUGUAUUCAGCAUGACGUCUACAAAGGAGGAAAAAACCCUGUGAACCUGUGACAUGAAAAUAUUCAUUAAUUUUGCUAGAUAACUAGACUAAUUACCUUCAACUUUUGAGAGAAGACUUUGCUGGGUUACUUGAAUUGAUUCUCAAGAACACUGAGGUUGAGUUAUUCCCAUUCUGUAUCUGCAAGUUGAGAAGAUCCGUCCCUAACAAUCCAAUCACCGAGGUCUUCAUUUGCCACCUUACAGAUUUUAUGUGCUCUUAUCUUUGAACAUGGCAGCCCCCAGGUGAUUAUCAUUUAUCUACACACAGAAAUUCUAAGACAUUUCUGUGUGAUCGCUGUAUGAUUAGAUUGGUCUGAAGAGUCAAUAGAAAUUGUUAAUGGUGGGCACGUUGUUAUUGCAGGUGGAUUUCCAAGCAUUUGACUUGGUCUGUACGAAUAAUAAACUCAAUUCUCACAUAGAGUCAUUGCAAAGAGUAGAAGACUACUGCAUUUGAAUUUUGAAAGAAAUUGAAGAGGAAGAGCACGAACCCAGGUCUAGCUGAGGGAUGGCAGAUGGGGCUGUGUCGUUUCUUCUUCAAAAUCUUGAAGCUUUUGCAACUAGAGAAUGGAACUUGCAGGAACAUAUCAGGAAUGGAGUCCAUAACUUAAAAAGGGAACUGCGGAGCAUAGAGGCCCUGAUGAGGGAUGCUGAUGCAAAGAAAGAGCAUGAUCACCAAUUCAAAGUGUGGAUUCAAGAAGUUCGCACAGAAGCUUAUGCCAUUGAGGAUGUUCUUGACCUAUUCAGACUCCACCGGGAUCAAGAAUCAGUGUGGAGCCACUUGAAAAUGCGGCACUCCAUUGGCAACCUGAUACAGGAUAUUAACACAAGGCUCGUGAUCAUUAAGCAGACAAAGGAGAGGUAUCAGAUCAUGGUCUCCACUUCAAUUAGCGCUGAAACCAACGCAUACCUUAAUGUGAGAGUAGCUCCUUUGAUCAUCGGCAGGGGCGAUAACAUCCUGGGCAUCGAUGAGCCUAAAAGGAAGCUGGUUUCUUGGGCAUUGGAGUCGAAUCAGAAACUCAAGGUUAUGUUCGUGGUGGGGAUGGCUGGACUGGGGAAGACAACGCUCGCCCGCAGCGUGUACGAGAUGGUGAAGGAGCACUUUGAUUGCCAUGCCUGGAUCAUUGCUUCAAAGUCCAAAACCAAACCUGAAACUUUACGGAGCUUGUUGGAGCACCUUGGCUGUUCGACAGAGGGGUCCAACAUAGUUAUUCUGAUGCAUAGACUGCAAAAUUUUCUCCAGCCCAAACGGUAUGUUAUAGUUGUUGACGAUUUAUGGGUAAAAGAUGUGUGGGAAUCCAUUAGACUUGCCUUGCCAGAUGGUAACAACAAUAGAAUAAUUAUCACUACAAGAAGAGGCGAUAUAGCUAAUUCUUGUAGAGAUGAUGAUUCUAUUGAUAUCCACAAGGUUCAGCCACUGUCACCGCAAUGGGCUGAGCAACUCUUCUAUAAGAAAGCUUUCUCAAGAAAUGGCAGAUGUCCUUCAGGCUUGGAGGAAGUCUCCAAAUCCAUCUUACAGAAAUGUGAUGGAUUACCACUUGGGAUUAUUGAAAUCGGUAAGCUGUUGUGGGGUAAGCGUCAAAGUACAUACGAGUGGAAAAAAUUAGAUGAUAGCCUUGAGUCUGAAUUGAGAAGCGGUGGUGGCCUUUCAGAUAUAAUGAGAGUGCUUUCUGCAAGUUACAAUGAUUUACCUUACCAUCUCAAGUAUUGCUUCUUAUACAUGAGUAUUUUUCCUGAGAAUAAUCCAGUUAAGCGAAGAAGACUGAUUCGGCUAUGGAUAGCUGAGGGAUUUGUAACAGAGGAGAGAGGCAAGACUCUUGAAGAGGUGGGGGAAGAGUACCUGAAUGAGCUUAUUGGUAGGAGUCUCAUAAAGGCAAAUGAAAUGGACUUUGAUGAAAGACCAAUAACUGUUGGAGUCCAUAGUCUCAUGCAUAGGAUAAUUCUCUCGGUUUCACAAGUGGAGAACUUUUGUACUGUUUGUGCAGGACCAGAAGGAAACUUGGCUGACAAACCCCGACGCCUAUCCAUCCAGACGGGAAACUUUGAUGUGUCUCAGGACUUAACCUGUGUUCGAACUUUUUUCAGUUUCAGUACAGGUAGGGUAAACAUUGGUUCGAAUUUCAAACUAUUGAAGGUUUUGGACAUACAAAGCACUCCUUUGGAAAACUUUCCAAGUGCCAUUACAGAUCUUCUGCUCUUGAGGUACUUGAGUUUGAGGAAUACAAAUAUAAGGAGCAUCCCCAAAUCCCUCAGGAACCUACGGCACCUUGAGACCUUGGAUCUUAAGCAAACUCUGGUAAAAGAGCUACCCAAAGCAGUCCUACAACUUGAUAAACUUCGCCACUUGCUGGUUUAUGCCUACAAUAUGGGAAGUGUUGUAGAGUUUGAUGCCGUUCAAGGGUUCACUGUACCGAGAAAGAUCGGAGCAAUGAAGAAUCUGCAAAAGCUAUCAUUUGUAAAGGCGAAAAGGCAUAACAGAAUGAUACAGGAGCUCAAAAAUCUGACAAAGCUGAGGAAGCUGGGCAUUGUAGAACUAGCAAAAGAAGAUGGCAAUAGCUUGUGCCACUCAAUUGAGAAGAUGCCGGAUCUCCUUUCCUUGGAUGUUACCUCCCUUAGUAAGGGGGAGCCUUUGGAGCUUGAUGCAAUGACCAAUCCCCCGCGUCUUCUUCAACGCCUGUAUCUCAAAGGGCACUUGCAAAGGUUUCCAAAGUGGGUAUCUUCUCUACAUGACCUGGUGAGAAUACGCCUAAAAUGGUCCUUAUUGUCACAAGACAACCCAAUUGAAGCUCUUCAAGAUCUUCCAAACUUGAUGGAGCUGCAGUUACUUGAUGCAUACACUGGAACCCAGUUGGACUUCAACUCGGGAAAAUUUCAGAAGCUUAAGAUAUUAGACCUUGAGCAAUUGAAACAGCUGAGGUUUAUCAUAAUGGAAGAUGACACAUUGCCUUGCCUACAAAAGCUGAUCAUAAGGCAAUGCAAUGAGCUGGAACAUGUCCCCGUAGGCAUUGACGGGCUUCAUCAUCUCAAUGAGCUGCACCUCUGCGAUAUGCCUGAGAAAUUCGUGGCACUGCUGAAGAAAAGAGGCGGUGAACUUCGCCAUUUGCUUCACCGUAUUUUGCGUAUUCUCUCAUAUCAACAGGGCCAGUUGGUGGAAGAUCUUUCAUGACCAUAAAUGCUACAUCUGUGACAUGCACCAGUGGAACAAGAAUCAAGGUUUGUAUAACUACAUGGAUUCAUCGCUUGCUUCUUUUGGAUUCCUCAAAAUGCAUUGUCGUCAAUUCCUUUACUAGCAAUAUUACUGCAUGUUCCUAGGAAAUCAUGGUGGGAUAUCUAGCAUUUAUACAUAUCAAACAUCGAAUAUCUGUGGAGUCAUAUUUGAAACUGCCAUUGUUGAAACUACGCCGAGACUCGGUACAAGACAGUCGGAUUAUGGUUAGGUGUCAAGCCCCUGAGCCUUCCAAUUGAUUUUUAUUAUUCUUGUAUUGAUAAUAGUAUGAAGUUAGAAUCAAUUUUAUUAUAUUUCGCUUAAAACGUCGGAAUCAGUUUCACAUUAAGCUUGUAGGAUAGCGAACAAAUUGAAUAUCAAUUUACUAUAAAAAUCUUCUCUUUUUUUUUUUCAAUUUUUUUAUUUAUUUUAUACUUGUGUCUGGUUUGGUUAACAAAUAAUGACAUUAUGCCCACUUGUGAAUUUUUAAUAUUAUGUUUUUAUGAUUAUUUUAGAUGAUAUUAAAUAUAAUAGUGAUUUGCUUUAAUUGUUGGUUUGUUGAAUGCAUUCUUAUCCAAUUGUUUUUAUUUAUUUUCUCUAAAAUUUUUAUUACUUUAAAAUUGUUCUAUACUUUUUAAUUAAUUAAGCAGUUUAUUCUGCAUAUAGUCUGGUUUAAUCGAAUAAAAUACGAUGACGAAGUCCUCUAAGAAUCUUCUAUAAAAGUCAACUCUGCCCAAUCAAUUCUUUCACAGGGGAACAAUGGUUUAUUAAUGUGCAACUAGCGUUUUUAUAAAUAAAAUAUUCUUAAUUUCCUCUAAAUAUCAGAUUAGUGUUAGACAAAACCAAUAAUAAUAUUUUUAUUGGGAUUUUUCAAUGGCAUUAUAAAGUCACCAAUCAAUUAAUAAAAAAUGGUCAUUGAAGUCACCGUGAUUUAUUGAUUUAUUUAUUUUUACCUGGACAAUGAUCUUAAUUAUUGUUUUUUCUGUAUUAUUUAAGUAUCAAGUUUUUAACAAAAGAAACCCAAGGUUAUGGAUGGGCAUUUCUCAAUACUAGAGGUACUAGUUUUUUUAGGGAAAAAUAGGUAUAAAAAAAAUUUAAUAUUUGCUAAAUUUUGGAAAAGUUGAAUAAUAUUGAGAUUAGUACCUUGAAAAGUUAAAAUUAUUCAAACACAAAAUAAAGAAUAAAAAGUAUAUUAAUAAUUUGUUUAGUAAAUUUUAACAUUUCUUUUACUUGAAAUUUUUUUAAAAAAAAAUUCUAUAUAGGGCAUAUAAUUAGGAUUAGGUUUAUUAAUAAAUGAAAUGUUUUUCUUAGCUGACAAUGCAAUCAUGUUGACCCAUAAAUUUGCAUUAGAUUUAUGAGAAAACUUUGAAUUUCUUUAUUUUCUUUUACAUGGCACAAAGGUUUAUAUAGAUUGUCUUGAAGUAGCAGUAAAGUGAUCCUUUAAGUACCACAAAUACUUGUGAUUUGGAAAUAAUCAAAGUCUUCCCAAUUGGGACGACCCUAGGUUCCAAUACAUUAGCAUUGAUUUCUUUGAGUUGUAUAUGAUGCUUCUUUUCAUGUUAUUUACGACAUUGACUACUAGAAUCUCUUGCAGAUGCAAGUGGCAUUCAUUAAAAGUUAAGACCACUGCUUUCAAGGGUCCUAUGUCCAGCUUCCGAGCAACAACAAUACGAGAAUGGGAAUGGUAAUGGGGUGGAAUUUUCUUGAUGGGACAAAUUUGGGAUAAAUAUGAAUGAGUUCAACCAACAAAUUUGAGAUUUUUUGUUUUUUUUUUGAACCCAAAGUGGGUUUGGGUAUGAUGUUGUCCCAUCCCAUAUGUAAUAUUAAAUAAAAAUGAUUUUAAUACAUUUUUGACUUUUUUUAACAUAUAUCAAAUAUUUUUUUUUAUAAAGAUAAAUUAUACAUAUUUAUAAUAUUUAUUUAUUUGUAAAUUAUAUUUAUUUUUAAUACAAUUUAAAAGUAAAAAAAUUAAGAAAAAAUAAAAAAUAGACAGACAAGGUGAAUAUGAGAAUUUUCCUACAUCUGUUCUACCUAUUUAUUUAUUUUUUUCAUGAAAAUGAGAAUAAAUAUAAAUAAAUUGGACGAUAUUAAAAUAUGGGUGACCAUCUCAAACUUGCCCGUUACCAACCAUAACCGAGAAGAUUGGGUCAAUGUGGAUUUUUAAGCUCCUUUUUUGGUUUGGGUUUGCAAAAAAAGACCCAACCAUUUAUUCGUUUGGCCAUAUGAAGUUGAUGAAUGCAACACCUUAACUCGGAACAUGACAUCCAUCAAACUUAGGCAAUCUCUCGCGUAAAUUUUAAGAAAUCACAAUAACUAGGAAUUUUCAACUAUGAAAUUUCCAAAAGAUAGCAUCAUUUUACAUUGUUCUAAGGCCAGUGCCAAAGGGUUCAUGUAGAAUUUUCAAAAUGUUUUUGUCCUGAGAAAAUACAUUUUGGAUAUGUUUCGUACCCAGUAAAUUCCAGGAUGCACAUAAUGGAAAUAAAAUUGAAAAAAAGAAAAAAAAAAGUAAAGAAAAAUAAAAUAUAGAUUUAAGAUCAAUAAAUUAUGUUAUAUAUUUCUUCAAACUAAUUUCACUUAUUUUCCUUAUUAUCUAAAGAUUAAAUAAUUUUAAAAUACAUAAAUCUUUUAUUAACUUUCAUUAUAUUUGAUUUUUUUUUAUAUUUUUUAUAAUAAAAUUAAACAUGAGAAAAUUAGUUUUAUUAACAUUUUUUUUUCUUUUACUUUCCUAGAACCGAACAUAGUACUAAGAAGCUAUAGCUAGAAAUGCCAUGAUACCAUUUUCUUGAAAACUUCCAUAUAAUUAAUAUGUACAUGUAGAUUACCUACAAUUUUCAAAUAGACAAGUACUUGUGUGUUUCAGUUUCCAAAACUUUUAUUAGGAACUCAACUUAAGACUUUACUGAAUUCAUGGGAUUGUCAGAUUUAGUAUAGGAAGAAAUUUUCCAUUGUUGACUAUAAUCUAUAUAUGGUGACCAUGUGACAUUAAUAUAUUUAUUUAGAUAUAUAAAAAAAUAUUUGAUUAAAAGACUUAAAAUACUCUUUGUAAAACCAAGGUUUGGUUAAUCUUGAUUUUGAUGAUAAAAAUAAAAAAUAAAAUUAGAAUUCAUGAUUAUAUUUCAACUGUCACUAGACAAGAUGAUUUCUAGAGUGACAAUCACAAAAAUAAAAUUAAGUCAAAGAGAAAUCAAUAAAAAGAAGAAAACCUCAAAAAGAAAUGUUUUUCAAGACCUAAGCUCCAUAGGAUAUCUUUGUAAGGUUGUUGGUGCACCAAGUUUUUCAUGCAUUACAUUCUUUACUUAUGCACCAAAAUCAUUUAAGAAUUAUUUUGUUUUAAAUAUUUUAAAAUAAGAUGAUUUCAUGUUUUCAACUAAAACUUUGUGUCAAAUACUUUCCAAACUUGUUUAAAAUAGUUUUAAGUUAAAAAGAUGGUUAUUGAACCAAAAACGACUCAAUUGGUUGAGAAAUUUGCUCAAUCGGUUGAACAUAUUGAGGAACCAAUCAACCUGUUCAACUUAACUGGUUGAAGGGUGUAAAAAAACUCUUUCUCUUCCAGAACACUUAUUCGAUCGAUCGAUCGAGGUUGGACCUCAUCCGAUUGACCAAUUCAGCUCAAUCAGUUGAAAGGUGUAAAAAUCUUCUUUCUAUUCCAAAAUACUUCUUUGACUAGUUGAGGUUGGACUUCAUCUGGUCAAGUACUAGUUGAGGAGCGGUUGAGGUUCAACAGUCACCUGUCAUGCAUUAAAUGUUAAUGGCUAGUGAACCAGUCGAAUUGGAGCUCGAUCGGAUGAACUCGCAAUGACUAGUUAGACUUAUCUCCUCUAUAAAAAGGUUCCAAUCUUUAUUGUUUCAAGAGUUUAAUCUUCGUAACCCUUUCUUGAAUAUAUUUGAGCAUUGAAAGUGUGUUUUUUAGUGCACCAUUGUUCUAAAACUUGCAAUCAUUAAUGCACCAGUCAAUCCUAAUUUAUCUUGUAUCAUUUGAACCUAAAGUUUUGUACUAGAUUUUGUGAGAUUAUUUCUUAUCUUCAUUUGUAAAUCUUUGAGAGAAAUAAUCUAAGUGUGAGGUAUCAUUUAGGGAUAUUUAAGUGUGGGGUAUCACUUAGAAAUUCUUAAGUUUGGGGUAUUAUUUGAGGGAUUGUUCAAAAGUGAUCUAUCUCUUAAGGAUUUUAAAGGAUGAACCUAAAGUUCUGUACUAUAUUUUGUGAGAUUAUUUCUUAUCUUUAUUUGUAAAUCUUUGAGAGGAAAAAUCUAAGUGUGAGGUAUCAUUCAGGGAUAUUUAAGUGUGGGGUAUCACUUAGAGAUUCUUAAGUGUGAGAUAUCACUUAAGGGGUUGUUCAAAAGUGAUGCAUCUCUUAAGGAUUGUAAAGGAUGCUUAGAGCCAAAAGUUCAAGAGGGUGAAUUGGAACCAUAAUCCAAUUAUAUUGCUUGAAUGCUUGGUUUGAAAGCCUUGAAUUAGUAGAAUUUCAAACUUGUGAUUGAAACUGGAGGAGAGUGGACAGAGGCUAGGUUGCGUUGAACCAUUAUAAAAAUCUUGUAUUUGCAUUCUCUCUUAUAUUCUCUUUUAAUUUAUAUGCAAUUGUUUUUAUAUUAUUUAUUAUAUAAAUUACAUAUAAUUAUCUCUUAAAUUUACAUAAUUUAAAUUUACAAAAAGAGACCAUCACCCUAUUCACCAUUUUUAGAGUGGUUACCUUAGGUUGGAUUAACUUUUUUUUUUUUUUUAAUACUUUUGAAAUUGGAAAAAUGACGUUCUUUACUCAUUCCUUGAAAAAUAAAAAAAUGAUUCAUUUUGGAUGUUAUUCUUCUUUUUUAUUUUCUUAAAAAUGCCAUUUUCUUCUAUUUCCUAAUUUAUUUAUUUAGUUUUCACAUUUAGGAUACCAAGCUCUCUUUCUCCCUCUAAGUUUAUGCUUUCCAAUUUUUCAUUGAAUUUUUUUAGUGAAGUUCAAAUCCUUAACAAAGAUUAAUGGAUAAUGAUCGGUUGUAGUCCUCUCAUCUUUCUUUUUUCUUCAAGAUUCUUUAUAUUUUCCAUUUUCUCUUUAUUUCUUGUUGGAAUUUUUUAUUAGAGGGUUUUUUUUGAAAUUGUUAUUUUUAAAAUUUUUUGUAGUUGUUUUUUUGCAGGUUUUUUUUUCUUUUUGGUUAACGGUUUUUUGUUGAGGGUUUUUUAUUAGGGCUUCUUACAAUUUCAUUUACACUUCUACAUUGUUUUUGCUUAGGGUUUCUUGGUAGUUAUUUUCUAUUGAAAUUUUGGUUGGGGUCCGUUGCCAUUGUUUUUCAUUAGAGUUUUUUUUAUAGUUGUUUUAUCGAGUUUUAUUUUUUAUUUAUUUUUUUGCAUUUUCACUAAGUCUUAUAAUAAUACCCUCUAUUUUGUCCUUUUGGCACAUGAUACUCAAGUUAGCCAUCAUUCAUCCUUUAUUACUUGUUUGUGCACUUCACGGUCUUUUUUCAAGCUAUUUUUGAGCUCUCAUUGAUGGUCUACUGUGACUAUGUUUAUCACUAGUUUUUUGUAUUUUCUAUAAGAAACAUUUUGGAGGGAUUAGGUGGACCUUAACCUUGAUUUUAGUGACCAUUAAUUCUUAGUUUGUGAUUUUGUUUUUGGUUAAUUUAUAAUAUAUUUAGGCUUUUUUAAAACCUUUAAUGUCACUAGAUAAAUUCAUAAUUUGGAUUGACUAAUAAUAGAUUUCAUUUUUAAAAAAAAAUGUAUAAUGAAGGUCAACAUUGAAUUAAGAAAAAGUUUUUAUUUAUUUAUGAAUUUGAUUUAAUUUGAUCUAAUUAUUUUUGUUUGCAUUUUUUAUUUUUUAUUUUUAUAAAUUAUAGAACUUUAGAUAUCAAUCGUGAUUAUGAAAUAGGUAAAUUGAAAAUUGAUAUAUUAUGGCCACUGAACAUAGGCCCUAAGAUUUUUCAUGCUAUAAUAAUAUUUCUUUUAAUAUCUCAUAAAUCGUAAAUUAAAAUGAAAAUAAAAUUAAGAUUGGAGUUUAUUGAAGACAUCAAAUUCAUGCUUUAAAAUAUAUAUUAAAAUGGGUCGUUUCUUUUAAUAAUAAUCAUACUAAAACAUUUUUUUUUUUUUUUUGCUUUAAUGUCUUACAAGCCACCAACGGCCAACCAGCUGUACCCAACCUUACCAACCGUGAGCCUAGCCUUUUUCAACCUAUAAAACCUAGCCCUUUGUAGCAUUGGGCCAAAAUGACCCAUGUAUUAAAAAAAAAAAAUUAGAUGUAACCAUUUUAUGAAAUUUAUAUUCAAACUAACAUCUUUGAUGCCACGAGGACUCAUGUCAUAAAAAUAUUUUUUUUUUCAAAAUUUUAAUUAAAACCUCAAUUGGUAAUUGAGGUUUCAUUUUUGAACUGAAGUCGCAAUUACUAACUGAGACUUCAGUUAUUGAACUAAAGUCACAAUUGUCAAUUGAGGUUUUAGUUAAAAAAUAAAGUUUCAAUUGACAAUUGAACUAAAGCCUCAAUUGACAACUAAAACUUCAUUUUUUUUAACUAAAACCUCAAUUGUCAACUAAGCCUUAGUUAAUUUUUUUUAACUUUAAAAUUUAGUUAAAAAUUAUUAAAUUAUAGUUUAUUAUUAAAAUUAGAAAUAUAUAUUUUAAUAAUAAAUUAUUUAUAUUUAAGCUUAAAAAUCUAAUAUUACUUCAACAAAUAUAAAUUGAUAGAUAAAAGAUAUUAUAAAUGAAUAUUUUAUUUAUUAAUAAAUUAAUAAUAUUAAAAUAAUAAAUUUAUAUAACAUAUAAAUAAGAUAUAAAAUUGUAUAAUUUAUUAAUUUAAGAUUUUUUUUUAAAGAUAUUAAUGUAUUUGUAUUAUGUUAAAUUUAUCCAUAUGUUCUCUCAUUAUGAAAGCAUAUGAGGUCAUAUAUGUUUUUUUUUUUUCAGCAUAUAAAUGUUUAAUGGGUAUUUUUUGUGACUUUGAUAAAACAACUAAAAAUUAUAUUUUGUAGUAGACUUUUUUUAACUAAUUUUGUCAAAAAAUCUAUAUAUAAAAAUUUAAGAGUAUACUGUUAUUUCAAUAAAGAUAAAUUUCUUAUAAUACAAAUAAAUCAAUGUCUUAAAAAACAACAAAUUAAAUAUCUUAAAUUAAUAAAUUAUAAAAUUUUAUAUCUUAUUUGUAUGUCAUAUAAUUUUAUUAUUUUAAAAUUAUUAAUUUAUUGAUAAAUAAAAUAUUUAUUUAUUGUAUUAUAUUUAUCAAUUUAUGUUUAUUGAAGUAAUACUAGAUUUUUAAGUUUAAAUAUAAAUAAUUUAUUAUUAAAUUAUAUAUUUUUAAUUUCAAUAAUAAGUUAUAAUUUAAUAGUUUUUAAUUAAAUUUAAAAGUUAAAAAAAAAUAUUAACUGAAGCCUCAAUUGGCAAAUACACCUUAGAAGUAUACUAUUAUUUAGAUAAAAAUAAAUUUGUCAUAAUACAAAUAAAUUAAUAUCUUAAAAAAUAACAAAUUAAAUAUCUUAAAUUAAUAAAUUAUACAAUUUUAUACCUUAUUUAUAUGUUAUAUAUAUAAAUUUAUUAUUUUAAAAUUAUUAAUAAAUAAAAUAUUCAUUUAUAAUAUCUUCUAUUUAUUAAUUUAUGUUUGUUGAAGUAAUAUUAGAUUCUUAAGUUUAAAUAUAAAUAAUUUAUUAUUAAAUUAUAGAUUUUUAAUUUCAAUAAUAAAUUAUAAUUUAGUAGUUUUUAAUUAAAUUUAAAGUAAAAAAAAAAUUAAAUGAAACCUGAAUUGGUAAUUGAAGUUUUAGUUCAAAAAUGAAGUUUCAGUUACCAAUUGAGAUUUCAGUUAAAAAUAAAGUUUCAAAUUGCGGUUUUAGUUCAAAAACUAAAGCCUCAAUUGAUAAUUACGGUUUUAGUUUAAAAAAGAAAUCUCCUCAAUUAUCAAUCUAGGUUUUUAUUAAAAGUUAAAAAAUAUAUAUAUUUAUAUGACAUGAAACUAAAGAUGCUAGUUCGAAUAUAAGCUGGAUAAAGUGGUUAGAUGUAAUAUAUUUUUUUUAAUAAAUGGGACAUUUUGACCCAAAACUCUUGAGCUGCAACCAGCCAUACCAAAGACACCCUGCACUAGCCGUCCGUAAUCCUCUACUGCAGCUUCGUUUUAGCUGCCCGAGGCGUCUCAAAUCAGCCCCAUCAAGUUGUCCACUCUCCCUGCUAUGAGCUUGGAAAUAAUCCAAGUCUUCCCAACCGGGAAGACUCUAGCUAGCUUCCAAUACGAAGACUCUAGCUAGCUUCCAAUACAUCAAUACUGAUUUUCUUGAGCUGCAUGUGAUGGUUCUUUUCAUAUUAUUAAUUAACGCCAUUGACUGGUCAUCUUCCCUGACAAUUCAUCAGUUAAAAUCACUGGUUUCAAGGGUACACCCAGCCACCAAUGCAAUAGCAAUACGGAGAAGACUGGGUCCAUGUGAGUAAUUGAUAGGCUUUUUUUUUUUUUUUGGUUUUGGUACGCAGAAAAAGAGGAGUUUUGGGUCAAAAUGCCGUAUAUUAAAAAAAAAAAAUAUUACAUCUAAUUAUUUUAUGAAACUUAUGUUCAAAUGCUUUGUAGGAAUCAUGUCAUAAAUUUUUUUUUUUUUAAAUUUUAGUAAAAGUCUCAAUUAAUAAUUAGGGUUUCAAUUUUGAAUUGAAAUUGUAAUUGUCAGUUGAGGCUUUGGUUUUUGAACUAAAGCUAUAGUUGUUAACUGAGACUUCAUUUUUUAACUGAAACCUCACUUGACAAAUACUUUAUUUUUAAACUAAAGCCUUAAUUGACAAUUAAGACUUUUUAUUUUAUUUUAAAAUUUAGGUAAAAGCUAUUAAAUUAUAGUUUAUUAUUGAAAUUAGAAAUAUAUAUUUUAAUAAUAAAUUAUUUAUAUUUAAGCUUAAGAAUCUAGCAUUAUUUUAAUAAACAUAAAUUGAUAGAUAGAAGAUAUUAUAAAUGAAUAUUUUAUUUAUUAAUAAAUUAAUAAUAUUAAAAUAAUAAAUUUAUAUAACAUAUAAAUAAGAUAUAAAAUUGUAUAAUUUAUUAAUUUAAGAUAUUAAUUUGUUGUUUUUUUAAAGAUAUUAAUUUAUUUGUAUUAUGUCAAAUUUAUUCAUAGGUUCUCUCCUUGUGGAGGCAUAUUAUGUUAUAUAUGUUUUUUUUUUAGCAUAUAAAUGUUUAGUGAAUAUUUUUUAUGACUUUGAAAAAACUACUAAAAAUCAUAUUUUUUAGUAGACUUUUUCUAACUAAUUUUGUCAAAAAGUCUAUAUAUAGAAACUUAAGAGUAUACUAUUAUUUCAAUAAAGAUAAAUUUUUCAUAAUACAAAUAAAUUAUUAUCUUAAAAAACAACAAAUUAAAUAUCUUAAAUUAAUAAAUUUUAAAAUUUUAUAUCUUAUUUGUAUGUCAUAUAAAUUUAUCAUUUUAAGAUUAUUAAUUUAUUGGUAAAUAAAAUAUUCAUUUAUUGUAUUGUAUUUAUCAAUUUAUGUUUAUUGAAAUAAUACUAGAUUUUUAAGUUUAAAUAUAAAUAAUUUAUUAUUAAAAUAUAUAUUUUUAAUUUCAAUAAUAAGUUGUAAUUUAAUAGUUUUUAAUUAAAUUUGAAAGUAAAAAAAAAGCCUCAGUUAACAACUACGGCUUAGGAGUAUACUAUUAUUUCGAUAAAGAUAAAUUUAUCAUAAUACAAAUAAAUUAAUACCUUAAAAAAUAACAAAUUAAAUAUCUUAAAUUAAUAAAUUAUAUAAUUUUAUAUAUUAUUUAUGUGUUAUAUAAAUUUAUUAUUUUAAAAUUAUUAAUUUAUUAAUAAAUAAAAUAUUUAUUUAUAAUAUCUUUUAUUUAUCAAUUUAUGUUUGUUGAAGUAAUACUAGAUUCUUAAGUUUAAAUAUAAAUAAUUUAUUAUUAAAGCAUAGAUUUUUAAUUUCAAUAAUAAAUUAUAAAUUAAUAGUUUUUAAUUAAAUUUUAAAAAAAAAAAAUUGAAGCCUCAGUUGAUAAUUGAGACUUUAAUUCAAAAAUAAAGGCUUCAGUUAAAAAAUAAAGUCUCAAUUGAUUAUUUCGAUUUUAGUUUAAAAACUAAACCUCAAUUGAUAUUUACGGUUUUAAUUUAAAAAUGAAACAUCAGUUACUAAUUGAGACUUUCAUUAAAAUUUUGAAAAAAAAUAUAAUUCUAUGAUACUACUUCUACGUGACAUCAAAAAAGUUGUUUGAAAAUAAAGUGGUUAAAUCUAUUUUAUUUUUUAUCCUGGGCCAUUUUGACCCAAAACUCGAAAAAGAGAGUCGGCAAUUUAUUUGUAUGGCCCACACGAAAUUGAUGAAUCCAUCGCCUUAGAAAUAUGACAUCCAUCAAACUCAGGCAAUCUCCACCGCAUGAAUUUUAAAAGCCACAGCAAUUGGGGAUAUUCUACCGUGGAAGAUGGCAUCAUUUUACAUUCUACUGAGGCCAAUAUCUAUGCUUCGUGGUUCUCUGGAACCAAUCAUGUAUUGCCUUGAACCCUUGAGAGAGAACAUGUGAUAUGCCCACGUCUUUUUAUUUACGCACAUUCCUACUACUUUUCUUUGUUUUUAUUGUAUAAGGUUGGAGGGUGGUCUAUGUAUUGACUCGGUAUGUAUGCUUGACUACAAACUCGAUGGUAGUUCAUAUGAGUGGAUCCUAAUAUUGUUGCAGCAAUUUGCCGAUUUCAGAGAAAAGAGAGAGAGAGAUAAUGGUCGACCCAGAAAUAACUGGAGGGAUUGCAGCGAGUACUUUGAGCUUUCUUCUAGUAAAACUCGAUGCUUUUGCAAUUAGAGAAUGGAAAUUGCAGGAAAAUAUCAAAAAGUCUGUCCAAAAUUUAGGAUGCGAGCUGAGGAACAUUCAGGCCAUGCUGAGAGAUGCUGAUUCAAAGGAAGAGCAUAGUCACCAAUUUACGGUCUGGAUUAAAGAGGUCCGCGAUCAAGCUUAUGCAAUCGAGGAUGCUCUUGACCUGUUCAAACUCAAACAAGAAUCAGUGUGGCGCCGCCUGAAACUGCGUCACUCCAUCAACGACUUGAUACAGGAUAUUGAGCGGAGUCUCCAAAACAUUCAGCGGACAAAGGAGAGGUAUCGCAGCAUGGCCUCCUAUUCAACCAAUGCUGGCAACAACACAUACCUUCAUGUGAGAGUGGCUCCUUUGUUCAUAGGUAACGUUGAUACCGUGGGCAUUGAGGAGCCUACAAAUAAGCUGGUUUCCUGGGCCUUGGAACCGAAACAGAGGCUUGAGGUGAUGUUUGUGGUGGGGAUGGCUGGACUGGGGAAGACCACUCUUGUCCACAGCGUGUAUGAGAGCGUGAAACAGAACUUUGAUUGCCAUAUCUGGAUCACUGCUUCAAAGUCCAAAACCAAACUCGAUAUCUUACGGACCUUGUUGGUGGAGAAAUUCGGCUGUACAAUCACACAGGGGGGCGAUGUGGUUGCUCUGACGCAUAAGCUGAGAAAAUUUCUCCACAACAAACGGUAUGUCAUAGUUCUUGAUGACUUAUGGGUAAAAGAUGUUUGGGAGUCCAUUAGACUUGCCUUGCCAAAUGGUAAGGACAGUAGAAUAAUUAUCACUACAAGGAGAGGCGAUAUAGCUAAUUCUUGGAGAGAUGAUGAUUCUGUUGAUAUCCACAUGCUUCAGCCACUGUCACCGGAAAGGGCUGAGAAACUCUUCUAUAAGAAAGCUUUCUCAAGAAAUGGCAGAUGUCCUUCAGGCUUGGAGGAAGUCUCGAAAUCCAUCUUACAGAAAUGUGAUGGAUUACCACUUGGGAUUAUUGAAAUCGGUAGACUUUUAUCCAUCAAGGCUCCAACUAAAAAUGAGUGGAAAAUAUUACAUGAUAGCCUUGAGUCUGAAUUGAGAGGCAGUGGUGGCCUUUCAAAUAUUACGAAAGUGCUGUCUGCAAGUUAUAAUGAUUUACCUUUCCAUCUCAAGUAUUGUUUCUUGUACAUGAGCAUCUUUCCUGAGACUAGCCCAGUUAAGCGAAGAAGGCUAAUUCGGCUAUGGAUAGCUGAAGGGUUUGUAAUAGAGAAAGGAGGCAAGACAUCUGAAGAGGUUGGGGAAGAGUAUCUGAAUGAGCUGAUUGACAGGAGUCUGAUAAAGGUAAAUGAAAUGGAUUUUGAAGGAAGGCCAAAAAGUGUGGGAGUUCAUAGUCUGAUGCUGAAGAUGAUUCUCUCAGGUGGUGUUUGUUUUUUUGGCUUUUUGCUGAAAACCAUUUAGUUUUAGAAUUUAGGUUGUUUGUUUUUUUACUUUUUCAUGACUUAUUAUAAACUUUUUACUAAAUAGAAAAAGCUAAAAUAUGUGGCUUUUUCUAAAUAGAAAAAAUAACACAAUGAUUUUUUUUACUUUUUAAUACUUAAUAGAAAUAAAAUACUACAAAAACAAACAACCUAAUAUUUAAGACUAUUAAGUAUUAAGGUUCUAUUUAGAAUUAAGUAAAAAAACAAACACCACCUCAGUCUCACGAGAGGAGAACUUUUGUUCUGUUUGUACAGGAUCAGAAAGGAACUUGAGUGAGAAAACCCGGCGCCUAUCUAUUCAGAAGGAAGAUUUUGAUGUGUCUCAGGACUUACCCUGUGUUCGAACCUUCUUCAGUUUCGGUAUAGGCAAAGUAAAGAUUGGUUCCAACUUCAAACUAUUGAAGGUCUUGGACAUACAGGGCACUCCUUUGGAAGAAUUUCCGGGUGUAAUUAAAGAUCUUCUGCUCUUGAGGUACUUGAGUUUGAGGAAUACAAAUAUAAGGAGCAUUCCAGGGACCCUGGGUGACCUUCAUCACCUUGAGACCUUGGAUCUUAAGCAGACUCUGGUAACAAAAGUACCCAAAGCAGUCCUACAACUUGAGAAACUUCGCCAUUUGCUGGUUUAUCGCUACAAUAUGGAAAGUGCCCUACCUUUUGAUAUUGUGCAGGGGUUCAAGGCACCAAAGAGGAUCGGCGCAUUGAAGAACCUACAAAAGCUGUCAUUUGUAAAGGUGAGUGGGCAGCACAGAAUGAGUCGGGAGCACAGAAUGAUACAAGGGCUCGACAAUCUUACGCAGUUGAGGAAGCUGGGCAUUGUAGAACUAGCAAAAGAACGUGGGGCGAGCUUGUGCCUCUCAAUUGAAAAGAUGCCAAAUCUCCACUCCUUGAAUGUAACCUCUCUUAAUAAGGAGGAGCCUCUGGAGCUUGAUGCAAUGACCAAUCCACCGCCCCUUCUUCAACGCUUGUACCUCAAAGGGCCCUUGAAUAGGUUUCCACAGUGGGCAACUUCUCUACAUGACCUGGAGAGAAUACGCCUAAAAUGGUCUUCACUCACAGAAAACCCGAUUGCAGCUCUUCAAAACCUCCCAAAUCUGACAGAGUUGCAGUUGCUUGAUGCAUAUACUGGAACCCAGUUGGACUUCAACUCCGGAAAAUUUCCGAAGCUGAAGAUAUUAGACCUUCAGCAAUUGGAACAGGUGAGGUCUAUCAUGAUGGAAGAAGGCACAUUGCCUUGCCUACAGAAGCUGAUCAUAAGCCACUGCAGCAGGCUGGUGCAGGUCCCUAGAGGUAUUGACAAGCUCAUUCACCUCCAAAUGCUGCU